rnacentral:piRNA from 1 species
UAGAUGAAUUCCUUCAAACUUAUGGUAGC